rnacentral:tRNA from 1 species
CGGGCUGUAGCGCAGUGGUCUAGCGUACAUGACUGGGGGUCAUGGGGUCGGCGGUUCAAAUCCGCCCAGCCCGA